rnacentral:rRNA from 1 species
AUUGAACGCUGGCAGCAGGCCUAACACAUGCAAGUCGAACGAGUGGCGGACGGGUGAGUAAUGUCUGGGAACCUGCCUGAUGGAGGGGGAUAAUUACUGGAAACGGUAGCUAAUACCGCAUCCCAUCGGAUGUGCCCAGAUGGGUUUAGCUAGUAGGUGGGGUAAAGGCUCACCUAGGAGACGAUCCCUAGCUGGUAUGAGAGGAUGACCAGCCACACUGGACCUGAGACACGGUCCAGACUCCUACGGGAGGCAGAGGUGGGGAAUAGUGCACAAUGGGCGCAAGCCUGAUGCAGCCAUGCCGCGUGUAUGAAGAAUGCCUUCGGGUUGUAAAGUACUUUCAGCGGGGAGGCGUUACCCGAAGAAGAAGCACCGGCUAACUCCGUGCCAGCAGCCGCGGUAAUUC